rnacentral:lncRNA from 1 species
AUCAAGAGAAGGCAUGUUAGGUGCAUGGCUGUGGGGACAGCACCAGAGGCAGAAACCAAGAAAAGUGGGUUCGAAAUCCAGACACUAACAGGUUGGUUGUUGAAGCAAGAACAGGCGGGUACUAUUGAUGCUGAGCUCACUAUUGUCCUUUCCAGCAUUUCCAUGGCCUGUAAGCAAAUUGCUUCUUUGGUUCAAAGGGCUAGCAUUUCAAACUUGACUGGUGUUCAAGGAGCUGUCAACGUUCAAGGAGAGGAUCAAAAGAAGCUCGACGUUGUUU